AUUGAACGCUGGCGGCAGGCCUAACACAUGCAAGUCGAACGGUAACAGGAAGAAGCUUGCUUCUUUGCUGACGAGUGGCGGACGGGUGAGUAAUGUCUGGGAAACUGCCUGAUGGAGGGGGAUAACUACUGGAAACGGUAGCUAAUACCGCAUAACGUCGCAAGACCAAAGAGGGGGACCUUCGGGCCUCUUGCCCUCGGAUGUGCCCAGAUGGGAUUAGCUAGUAGGUGGGGUAACGGCUCACCUAGGCGACGAUCCCUAGCUGGUCUGAGAGGAUGACCAGCCACACUGGAACUGAGACACAGUCCAGACUCCUACGGGAGGCAGCAGUGGGGAAUAUUGCACAAUGGGCGCAAGCCUGAUGCAGCCAUGCCGCGUGUAUGAAGAAGGCCUUCGGGUUGUAAAGUACUUUCAGCGGGGAGGAAGGGAGUAAAGUUAAUACCUUUACUCAUUGACGUUACCCGCAGAAGAAGCACCGGCUAACUCCGUG
rnacentral:rRNA from 1 species